rnacentral:sRNA from 1 species
GACUCGAAAUGAUGAUGAAUGGACACUGAAAACAUGCAAAUUAUAGACAUAUCAACUCCCCAAAACUUAGUCUUUGCUUGCCCUCAAGCAAAUAAGAAGACAUAGUUGAAGGAGAGGUUUGAAGGUGGGGACUCAGAACCAAAGCAUCAGGUAGAGCAAAUAAAAUCAAUGUCCAAGUUGGUAGUUCUAAGAUGCGAUAUGAUUAAAUUUUACUCAAAAACGUUAGCCAUGCCUUGUUAUCAAUCAAUCUGUCUCUUAUACUCGACCUAUACAUGCUUUCAAAUCUACCAAUCCCUUUAACAUUCAUUAGUUCUAGAACGUGAAUCAAGCAAUGCAUCAUCAAUGAACUCAUUUGGCUAAGGUGAAGGUCAAGAGACAAAGAUGGUCCCUUACAGAAUAGGCUUAAGUAACAGGGAAUCUCUCAAGAAUGAUUGAGCUUUAGUAGAAUGCUAAAGGUAAGUCCCAAGCUAUGCAUACAGAGAUAAGAUCCCAUCUACCCAUAGUAUAACAAUGAAGCUAUAAUGGUUAUCCCAACUCUAGUCCCAAUACAAGAACUUAACUCUACCCUUUGCACUCAUGAAUCUUUCAAACUCUUUUUCAUAUCAUUCUUUUCUUUUCUCUUAACUCUAGGAGAAGCUUUCUCAACACUUUGAUACAUCUAGCGGAUUUGGAUUUCUUUAACAACUAAGGUUCCUGUUUUUAAUUUUUU